AUUGAACGCUGGCGGCAUGCCUUACACAUGCAAGUCGAACGGCAGCACGGGUGCUUGCACCUGGUGGCGAGUGGCGAACGGGUGAGUAAUACAUCGGAACGUGCCUUAUCGUGGGGGAUAACGCAGCGAAAGCUGUGCUAAUACCGCAUACGCCCUGAGGGGGAAAGCGGGGGAUCGCAAGACCUCGCGCGAUUAGAGCGGCCGAUGCCUGAUUAGCUAGUUGGUGGGGUAAAAGCCCACCAAGGCGACGAUCAGUAGCGGGUCUGAGAGGACGAUCAGCCACACUGGGACUGAGACACGGCCCAGACUCCUACGGGAGGCAGCAGUGGGGAAUUUUGGACAAUGGGGGCAACCCUGAUCCAGCAAUGCCGCGUGAGUGAAGAAGGCCUUCGGGUUGUAAAGCUCUUUUGUCAGGGAAGAAACACCGGCUCUAACACAGUCCGGGAAUGACGGUACCUGAAGAAUAAGCACCGGCUAACUACGUGCCAGCAGCCGCCGUAA
rnacentral:rRNA from 1 species